GGGACCUUAGCUCAGCUGGUAGAGCAGCGGACUUUUAAUCCGUUGGUCGCGAGUUCGAAUCUCGCAGGUCCUACCA
rnacentral:tRNA from 1 species